rnacentral:lncRNA from 1 species
GGUCGUGGUCGGUACCCCCGGCCGUGUCUUCGACAUGCUGCGCCGCCGCUACCUGCGCGCGGACUCCAUCAAGAUGUUCACCCUGGACGAGGCCGAUGAGAUGCUGUCUCGCGGUUUCAAGGACCAGAUCUACGACAUCUUCCAGCUGCUGCCCCCCAAGCUGCAGGUGAGCCGGCUGCCAGCAUUGCAUGGGCUUGGUCUGUCGCUUGCAAUUGCUUGUAGAAAUCUGCGCGGUCGACGUGGGAUUGGAAGGCGGCGUGAUUGAACUGCACCAGAUGGCAAAGACGCUGAGCAGCAAGGACGCGGCGGAAUCAGCAGCUGUGGCGCGAGCGGCCGGGAGCGUCGUGGAGCAGUGGGUUGCCAGCGUGGUGGAUGAUCACACGCGCCAAACGUCCUGAUGAAUGGCAUGGUAUCCACGAGUGGGGAAAAGACAUGUACUGGCGCUCUGACAUGCCUGCUUAUCUGCCGUGUGCAGGUCGGUGUGUUCUCCGCCACCCUGCCCCCUGAGGCGCUGGAGAUUACCCGCAAGUUCAUGAACAAGCCCGUAAGUUGGUUGCCCGUGGAGGUGGGCGGAAAGGCAGUGGGGAUUUGAGAAUGCCAGAUCGGUUUGGGGUUCGAAGUUAUUGAGCCUGUGAGCUGGAUGAGUGCCGCGCUUACUGGCUCCCAAUUCUCGUCAAACGCCUCUGUAGGUGCGCAUUCUGGUGAAGCGCGAUGAGCUGACCCUGGAGGGUAUCAAGCAGUUCUACGUGAACGUGGACAAGGAGGAGUGGAAGCUGGACACGCUGUGCGACCUGUACGAGACGCUGGCCAUCACCCAGUCCGUCAUCUUCGCCAACACCCGCCGCAAGGUGUGGGCGGGGACGCGCGGGGGGGGGGGGCGCCUGGGGAUGCGCGAUGGGGACCAACCAGCUUCAUUUGGCACAGCCGGCAAACUUCUGAGGGCAGGGCGGCCCGGCUAACGUGUUUGUGGGAACGGUUGCCUAGCACCCUGUUGUGUUGCUAACGAAUUAUGCCCAUGCUGCCGAUGCAAUCCGCAGGUGGACUGGCUGACGGACAAGAUGCGCGAGCGCGACCACACCGUGUCCGCCACCCACGGCGACAUGGACCAGAACACGCGCGAUGUGAUCAUGCGCGAGUUCCGCUCCGGCUCGUCGCGUGUGCUGAUCACCACCGACCUGCUGGCCCGCGGCAUUGACGUGCAGCAGGUGUCGCUGGUCAUCAACUACGACCUGCCCACCCAGCCCGAGAACUACCUGCACCGCAUUGGUCGCUCGGGCCGCUUCGGACGCAAGGGUGUUGCCAUCAACUUCGUGACCAAGGUAAGCGGCUGGGCAAGGAGGUCAAUGAAAGGCGAUGUUCGGAACUCUUGCUGGAGCCGAAUAUGGAUUGGGAAAGGGUGCUUGGCCGGCGCGUGUCAGCGCUGAAGCAUUGAUGACGCGAUGAUGAGAGUGGCAGUAAGGCGUGCUGCUGUGGAACGCGGGACCUGGCACCUGCUGACUCUCAACCAUAUCCUUGUGCCUUUGCAGGACGACGAGCGCAUGCUCCAGGACAUCCAGCGGUUCUACAACACCGUGAUUGAGGAGCUGCCCUCGAACGUCGCUGACCUCAUCUAAGCGCUCUACUACCACCAAAUGUGCGCUAGCCCCUGGGUCCAGCCGAUCCCAAGCACGGGGCGAAGCCUGCAGGAUGUGAAGGGCACGGGGCAGGGCGCGCCGCCACGCAGCCGCCCCGUGAC